GUGUUUGUGUCAGCAGCACAUACACUAAAAUUGGAACAAUAUGAGAAGAUUAGCAUGGCCCCUGUGCAAGAAUGACAUGCAUAUUUGUGAAAAAUUUUAAAAGUCA
rnacentral:snRNA from 1 species